rnacentral:rRNA from 1 species
UACGUAGGGCGCAAGCGUUAUCCGGAAUUAUUGGGCGUAAAGAGCUCGUAGGCGGUUUGUCGCGUCUGCCGUGAAAAGUCCCGGGGGCUCAACUCCGGAUCUGCGGUGGGUACGGGCAGACUAAAGUGAUGUAGGGGAGACUGGAAUUCCUGGUGUAGCGGUGAAAUGCACAGAUAUCAGGAGGAACACCGAAUGGCGAAGGCGGGUCUCUGGCCGUAACUGGACGCUGAGGAGCGAAAGCGUGGGGAGCGAACG